UGGGGAAUUGUUCGCAAUGGGCGCAAGCCUGACGACGCAACGCCGCGUGGAGGAUGAAGGUCUUCGGAUUGUAAACUCCUGUUGCUCGGGACGAAAUGCCUCGACCUAAUACGUCGAAGUUUGACGGUACCGAGUGAGGAAGCCCCGGCUAACUCUGUGCCAGCAGCCGCGGUAAUACAGAGGGGGCAAGCGUUGUUCGGAAUUACUGGGCGUAAAGGGCGCGUAGGCGGCCUGUUAAGUCGAACGUGAAAUCCCUGGGCUCAACCCAGGAACUGCGUCCGAUACUGGCAGGCUUGAAUCCGGGAGAGGGAUGCGGAAUUCCAGGUAUAGCGGUGAAAUGCGUAGAUAUCUGGAGGAACACCGGUGGCGAAGGCGGCAUCCUGGACCGGUAUUGACGCUGAGGCGCGAAAGCCAGGGGAGCAAACGGGAUUAGAUACCCCUGUAGUCCCUGAGCGGGCUGGCAAGGCGCAU
rnacentral:rRNA from 1 species